rnacentral:rRNA from 1 species
GUUGAUCCAGAGAUUUCCGAAUGGGGGAACCCACUAUCUUUAGUCGGAUAGUAUCCUUACGUGAAUACAUAGCGUGAGGAAGGCAGACCCAGGGAACUGAAACAUCUAAGUACCUGGAGGAAGAGAAAGAAAAAUCGAUUUCCUGAGUAGCGGCGAGCGAAACGGAAAGAGCCCAAACCAAGAAGCUUGCUUCUUGGGGUUGUAGGACACUCUAUACGGAGUUACAAAAGAAAGUUAUAAAUGAAGCGGUCUGGAAAGGCCCGCCAAAGACGGUAACAGCCCGGUAGUUGAAAUGGCUUUCCCUCCAGAGUGGAUCCUGAGUACGGCGGAACACGUGAAAUUCCGUCGGAAUCCGGGAGGACCAUCUCCCAAGGCUAAAUACUCCCUAGUGACCGAUAGUGAACCAGUACCGUGAGGGAAAGGUGAAAAGCACCCCGGAAGGGGAGUGAAACAGUUCCUGAAACCGUGUGCCUACAAGUAGUUAGAGCCCGUUAAUGGGUGAUAGCGUGCCUUUUGUAGAAUGAACCGGCGAGUUACGAUUUGUUGCAAGGUUAAGCGGAAAAAGCGGAGCCGUAGCGAAAGCGAGUCUGAAUAGGGCGCAUAAGUAACAGGUCGUAGACCCGAAACCAGGUGAUCUACCCAUGUCCAGGAUGAAGGUAAGGUAAUACUUACUGGAGGUCCGAACCCACGCACGUUGAAAAGUGCGGGGAUGAGGUGUGGGUAGCGGAGAAAUUCCAAUCGAACUUGGAGAUAGCUGGUUCUCUCCGAAAUAGCUUUAGGGCUAGCCUCGAGGUAAAGAGUCAUGGAGGUAGAGCACUGUUUGGACUAGGGGCCCUUCUCGGGUUACCGAAUUCAGAUAAACUCCGAAUGCCAUGUACUUAUACUCGGGAGUCAGACUGCGAGUGAUAAGAUCCGUAGUCGAAAGGGAAACAGCCCAGACCACCAGUUAAGGUCCCCAAAUAUAUGUUAAGUGGAAAAGGAUGUGGGGUUGCUUAGACAACCAGGAUGUUGGCUUAGAAGCAGCCACCAUUGAAAGAGUGCGUAAUAGCUCACUGGUCGAGUGACCCCGCGCCGAAAAUGUACCGGGGCUAAACAUAUUACCGAAACUGUGGAUGAACCUCUUUAGAGGUUCGUGGUAGGAGAGCGUUCUAAGGGCGGUGAAGUCAGACCGGAAGGACUGGUGGAGCGCUUAGAAGUGAGAAUGCCGGUAUGAGUAGCGAAAGAAGGGUGAGAAUCCCUUCCACCGAAUAUCUAAGGUUUCCUGAGGAAGGCUCGUCCGCUCAGGGUUAGUCGGGACCUAAGCCGAGGCCGAUAGGCGUAGGCGAUGGACAACAGGUAGAGAUUCCUGUACCAGUGCUAAUUGUUUAACCGAUGGGGUGACACAGAAGGAUAGGGAAUCGCACGAAUGGAAAUGUGCGUCCAAGCAGUGAGUGUGAGAAGUAGGCAAAUCCGCUUCUCGCGAAGCAUGAGCUGUGAUGGGGAAGGAAAUUAAGUACGGAAGUUCCUGAUUUCACGCUGUCAAGAAAAGCCUCUAGGAAGAGUAGUACUGCCCGUACCGCAAACCGACACAGGUAGAUGAGGAGAGAAUCCUAAGGUGAGCGAGAGAACUCUCGUUAAGGAACUCGGCAAAAUGACCCCGUAACUUCGGGAGAAGGGGUGCUCUAUUAGGGUGCAAGCCCGAGAGAGCCGCAGUGAAUAGGCCCAGGCGACUGUUUAGCAAAAACACAGGUCUCUGCAAAACCGUAAGGUGACGUAUAGGGGCUGACGCCUGCCCGGUGCUGGAAGGUUAAGAGGAGUGCUUAGCUUCGGCGAAGGUACGAAUUGAAGCCCCAGUAAACGGCGGCCGUAACUAUAACGGUCCUAAGGUAGCGAAAUUCCUUGUCGGGUAAGUUCCGACCCGCACGAAAGGCGCAACGAUCUGGGCACUGUCUCAACGAGAGACUCGGUGAAAUUAUAGUACCUGUGAAGAUGCAGGUUACCCGCGAC